rnacentral:rRNA from 1 species
UACAGAGGUCCCGAGCGUUGUUCGGAUUCAUUGGGCGUAAAGGGUGCGUAGGCUGCGGGGAAAGUCUGAUGUGAAAUCCUGGGGCUCAACCCUGGAACUGCAUUGGAUACUUCCUUGCUAGAGUACUGGAGAGGAAACUGGAAUUUACGGUGUAGCAGUGAAAUGCGUAGAGAUCGUAAGGAAGACCAGUGGCGAAGGCGAGUUUCUGGACAGUUACUGACGCUGAGGCACGAAGGCCAGGGGAGCAAACGGG